CAUGCCCCUUAUACGCUGGGCUACACACGUGCUACAAUGGGUAGAACAGAGAGUCGCAAAGCUGUGAAGUGGAGCUAAUCUCAGAAAACUAUUCUUAGUUCGGAUUGUACUCUGCAACUCGAGUACAUGAAGUUGGAAUCGCUAGUAAUCGCGAAUCAGCAAUGUCGCGGUGAAUACGUUCUCGGGUCUUGUACACACCGCCCGUCACACCACGAGAGUUGGUUGCACCUGAAGUAGCAGGCCUAACCGUAAGGAGGGAUGCUCCGAGGGUGUGAUUAGCGAUUGGGGUGAAGUCGUAACAAGGUAUCCGUACGGGAACGUGCGGAUGGAUCACCUCCUUUCUAAGGAGAAAAUGUCUUUCUCUAUUCUAUUGGUAAUGUUCUUUACAUUACUUCUGAACAUUGGAAACUAUAUAGUAGAACAAACAAGAAAACAAAAUUAACUCUAACAAUUUCUUAGAGUUAGCUGUCAAAAAAAAUAGAUUAAAAUAAUUAAGGGCACACAAAGGAUGCCUUGGUAGUAAGAGCCGAUGAAGGACGUGGUAAGCUGCGAUAAGCCUAG
rnacentral:sRNA from 1 species